rnacentral:ncRNA from 1 species
GCGGUACCGGUUCACGCCGAUGGCGCGAUGCGCCGAUGGCGACCCGGCGACC